rnacentral:rRNA from 1 species
AACGAACGCUGGCGGCAUGCCUAACACAUGCAAGUCGAACGAGAUCUUCGGGUCUAGUGGCGCACGGGUGCGUAACGCGUGGGAAUCUGCCCUUUGGUUCGGAAUAACAGUUGGAAACGACUGCUAAUAUCGGAUGAUGACUAAAGUCCAGAGAUUUAUCGCCAGAGGAUGAGCCCGCGUAGGAUUAGCUAGUUGGUGUGGUAAAGGCGCACCAAGGCGACGAUCCUUAGCUGGUCUGAGAGGAUGAUCAGCCACACUGGGACUGAGACACGGCCCAGACUCCUACGGGAGGCAGCAGUGGGGAAUAUUGGACAAUGGGCGAAAGCCUGAUCCAGCAAUGCCGCGUGAGUGAUGAAGGCCUUAGGGUUGUAAAGCUCUUUUACCCGGGAUGAUAAUGACAGUACCGGGAGAAUAAGCUCCGGCUAACUCCGUGCCAGCCGCCGCCGUAA